rnacentral:rRNA from 1 species
CCUACGGGGGGCUGCAGUGGGGAAUAUUGGACAAUGGGGGGAACCCUGAUCCAGCCAUGCCGCGUGUGUGAAGAAGGCCCUCGGGUUGUAAAGCACUUUCAGUGAGGAAGAACGCCUGGUGGUUAAUACCCAUCAGGAAAGACAUCACUCACAGAAGAAGCACCGGCUAACUCCGUGCCAGCAGCCGCGGUAAUACGGAGGGUGCGAGCGUUAAUCGGAAUUACUGGGCGUAAAGCGCGCGUAGGUGGCUUGAUAAGCCGGUUGUGAAAGCCCCGGGCUCAACCUGGGAACGGCAUCCGGAACUGUCAAGCUAGAGUGCAGGAGAGGAAGGUAGAAUUCCCGGUGUAGCGGUGAAAUGCGUAGAGAUCGGGAGGAAUACCAGUGGCGAAGGCGGCCUUCUGGACUGACACUGACACUGAGGUGCGAAAGCGUGGGUAGCAAACAGGAUUAGAGACCCGGGUAGUC